rnacentral:rRNA from 1 species
UACGUAGGUGACCAGCGUUGUCCGGAUUUACUGGGCGUAAAGAGCGCGCAGGCGGUCGUUCAAGUCGAGUGUGAAAGCCCCCGGCUCAACUGGGGAGGGUCAUUCGAUACUGAUCGACUUGAAGGCAGGAGAGGGAAGUGGAAUUCCCGGUGUAGUGGUGAAAUGCGUAGAUAUCGGGAGGAACACCAGUGGCGAAGGCGACUUCCUGGCCUGUUCUUGGCGCUGAGGCGCGAAAGCUAGGGGAGCAAACGGG